AUGGUUCCAACAAUCCAGAUGGCCUUUGAUGUUCAGCCUUCACUUGUUGACAAGUCAUGCACCUCCUGACAAAAAGACCUAUGCACGUUUCAUAUUUCUCCACCAAAACAUGCUCCUUAGAUCACGAUACAUUUUUGUACCUCCUGGAUGGGCAGUAUAUGGAGUUAAGUGUGCUUCUUCAAGAAUUUCUUUCCUCAAUCCCUCGUCUUUAGGCACACACAACCUUCCCUUAAAAAGUAAGGCUUUAUCACUACCUAAUUCAAAAUCCUUUCGCUUGCUAGUACCAACUUCGGAUUUGAUCUUUUGCAGGAAAGAGUCACCAUCCUGUGCUACUCUUAUUCGAUCUCUAAGUGUUGGUCGAAUCGUUAGAGCCGCUAUUCUGGUGAUAGUUUAGGUUGGUGGAACAAUUACUAGAAGUAAGUUGUCGAAAUCCUUUAAUAACUAGUCCUGCAUAGUGAUUAGUACUGCUAAUUAUCCACCUGCCUUUCUGCUGAGAGCAUCUGCUACUACAUUAGCUUUACCAGGAUGGUAAAGGAUAGUGCAAUCAUAAUCCUUUACUAGCUCUAGCCAUCUCCUUUGCCUCAUAUUUAAUUCCUUUUGGGUGAAAAAAUACUUCAAACUCUUAUGAUCAGUAUAAAUGUCACACUUAUUUCCAUAUAAGUAAUGACG
rnacentral:lncRNA from 1 species